rnacentral:rRNA from 1 species
UACGAGGGGGGCGAGCGUUGUUCGGAAUUAUUGGGCGUAAAGGGUGCGUAGGCGGUUCCGCAAGUCCUGUGUGAAAUCUUCGGGCUCAACUCGAAGUCUGCACGGGAAACUGCGGGGCUUGAGUACUGUAGAGGACAGUGGAAUUUCCGGUGUAGCGGUGAAAUGCGUAGAGAUCGGAAGGAACAUCAGUGGCGAAGGCGACUGUCUGGACAGAUACUGACGCUGAGGCGCGAAAGCGUGGGGAGCAAACAGG